AAUGAACGCUGGCGGCAUGCCUAACACAUGCAAGUCGAACGAAGGCUUCGGCCUUAGUGGCGCACGGGUGCGUAACGCGUGGGAAUCUACCCUUGGGUUCGGAAUAACUCAGAGAAAUUUGAGCUAAUACCGGAUGAUGUCGCAAGACCAAAGAUUUAUCGCCCAAGGAUGAGCCCGCGUAGGAUUAGCUAGUUGGUGGGGUAAAGGCCCACCAAGGCGACGAUCCUUAGCUGGACUGAGAGGGUGAACGGCCACAUUGGGACUGAGACACGGCCCAGACUCCUACGGGAGGCAGCAGUGGGGAAUUUUGGACAAUGGGGGCAACCCUGAUCCAGCCAUGCCGCGUGCAGGAUGAAGGCCUUCGGGUUGUAAACUGCUUUUGUCAGGGACGAAAAGGACCGUGUUAAUACCAUGGUCUGCUGACGGUACCUGAAGAAUAAGCACCGGCUAACUACGUG
rnacentral:rRNA from 1 species